CUGGAAGAAAAGUCUUCCAUUCUCUAACAGUCUCUAGAAGUCAACACACAUCUUUUGAAUAGAUAUAUGUCUUAGCUGUGUUCCUGCUGGUUAUAGUGCCACAGAAGACUGCAUGGGCCACAGUUUCAGGGCUGAUGGCUAAACAAAGAGCAGCUGCUACAGAUUCAGCAGAGGUCCAUGUACAGCUGCCAGAAAUUGCUGCAUGAGUGGACACAAGCAGUACAGGAAGGGAUGGAAUAAAGCUGAAAAAGAGAAAAAGCAAUACCAAGACAUGCCUCAGCUCUCUGUUUGGAAGGAACUUUUGAUAAGAAACUGGUCAGCCAUUCUGAGAGUGGUGGAAAGCCUGUCAAGGUCACUGCCAAGGACAAGAGAGUCAAUUAGUAUGCAGAUCAGAGCCAAGGAGUUCAAAGGUGUGAUGGCAGAUUAAAUCCAUGACAGGAAACAGUGAUAAUGCCCACUGUAGAGCCAUGUGGUGUAAAGGUCCCUAAGAAUGGUACAACUGAAAUGGGAGGAUGAAGAAAUGUAUUGGCUAUGACAAGAAGAAGUAAUUGCUUUUCCUCAAAGGAUCAGAUGUGGUAUAGUUGUUUGAAAAACAAUCUAAACAACAUUUUGUUCACCAUUGAUUUUAAAAGCAUUAAAAUUAGUUUUUAUGCAGCUAUACUCAUUAAGCUUUUAUGUAUACUGUGUAGGGUGAAUAGUUAAGAAGCAAUAAAGCAUUCUGCAGUAAAAUAUACUUUGCCA
rnacentral:lncRNA from 1 species